GAAUGUCAACCACCAACACAGUUACAGAAGAAGAAGUAGUUGCUGUUGUUCAGGUGUGCUCUGAGUGAAGAUAGCCGCCAACGGACUCUGCGUAGGAGGACGGUGUGUUUCCCGCUGCCAGAGAAAAGGUCGCAGGAGACCUGCAGAUAUUUCUGUGGAUUUCUUCGGCGACCAAAACCGGCUAUUUAACCAAAAGAGCCCCUCCAGUCUCAGUCUCACCAGCGCUCCUGUUCCACAGUUCAUGUGUGACUACAGCACAGGUCGAGUAUAGAAAGAUCCCCUGCAUUUUGCCUCUGAUGAUCAUGGUCUGGCUCCCAUACCCAUCGGCUGAUUUGUGACCUGUGGCGUAAUAGAUUCACCAAACUGCAUAUGUGAAAACAAGGGAAUGAAUUUUAUAAAACAUUCAUUGUAAAACCCAGAAGAGGCUGAUUACAUUCUGAGGACGAACACGCCUUUGAAAUGAUGUAAAUUUACUGCAAGUGUUUGGGUUGCCCCAAAGAAUUAGAAAAUAAAUAAAUAAAUAAAAAAAAGAUUCACUUUUUCA